UUCCGAGUCUUGUACAGAUAGUUGGUCUAUUCUUCAUUCCAGAAUCUCCUAGGUGGCUGUUGAUGAAGAGUAAAACCAAUGCAUUUGAAACAGCCUUACAGCGACUUAGAGGAGGUUCUGUCGUGAACGAAGCAGCUGACUUAAGGGUAAAGUGCAAUCCCUGGAUUCUAUAGUUCAAUGAUUGACAUCCCUCGGAAGAACUUAUUGUAUGAAAUCUAAUGAAAUUCACUUUUUGAUUUGUGUAAAGGAGAGUAUUGAAGCCCUUCAUCAAAUGGAAAAAGUUAGUUUCCUACAACUAUUUCAGAAGAAAUAUGCUUACACAUUUCACGGUUAAUUAGAUGGUUUAAAAAACUUUCUUUUUUUUUUUAUUUUUUUUUAUUUUUUUAUUUUUUAUUGUGAGUUAAUUAGAAUGCAAUUGACACAAUAACUUAAUUUAGUUUUUUUUUUUUUUUUAUGGUUUUUAUACUCUAAUAUUUAUAUGUUUGGUUUUUAUACUCUAAUAUUUAUAUGUUUUUGUAUAUAAAUGUGGAUUAAUAUAGCAUGGCUUAUUUCUAGCUAACAUGGUUAUACACGUGGCACAUAGACAAUUUUAGGGACGCCUUUUAAUUCUAGUUUCUCAAAUUUCAAAUUAAUAAUGUUCCAUAGAACCAAAGACUUUCAAUUGCAACAUUUUAACACACAAAUGCAAAAUCUUACAUUACCUUUUGAUAUAGUAUAAAAUAUAUUCCUGGGCUUCAACCACAAGCUUAAGCUUUUGGUUGAGUUGGUCUUUUAAUAUGACAUCGGAGUCAGCGUAACACAAAGGUCACGGGUUUUGAUUGAGUUGGUCCACUAACAGAAUUGUAUAAGUUAUGCUGAGAUUUGUUCAUUGAAUGCAGAUUUAUUUUGUUUCAUAUCCAGUAGGCAUGGGUGGUGCGGCUUCAGUUAAAGUUUCAGAGAUAUACCCGGGAAACGUACAAGGAUUAGCAGGAAGUAUUUGUUCCAUAGUAGCAUGUUUAGCAGGAUGGAUUGUUUCUUACACUUUUAACUUUCUUAUGGAAUGGAGUUCUUCAGAACGUUUUUCAUAAUGGCGGGUAUCAGUGCAUUUACACUGGUUUUCGUGGCGAAAUUGGUUCCGGAGACAAAGGGAAGAACACUUGAAGAAGUUCAUGCUUCAACAAGUAUUGUUUGGCAAUGAUGGAAGAAGUGCAUCUUAUGAAGUUGCAGUUCAAUUAUCAGUCCUUUUUUUUGGGAUCUCCGUGAAAAUGAAUCAAGGCUAAUUUUUUUGUGUAAAAAAAAAUGAAAAGAACAAGCAAACUUGUUAAUAUAACAAGUUCCCAAAAUUUUCGAGGAUGGUGUUUCUUAUGCAGCCUUUGAUUUAUCAAACUUAUCUAACCUAAAUCUAUUAGAACUCAAAUCAGUUUCAA